GAUUUUAUUAAGGAUAAUUUUUGUUAUUAUAGAAUAUUAGAUUAGUAUGGUGAGUGAAAAUUAAGGUUGUUUUAUAAAGAAAUGAGUACUGUGUAGGAUUUAAGAUAAAUUUAUUAAAAAUAUUAGGUUUAUUAGUACCUUUUGUAUUAGGGUUUUUUAAUUUUAUUUGAUAUUAAUUUUUAUCUUGAUGAAUAUCGGGCUAUUAUUUAAGAGUAGAGAUUUUGUUGCAUAAAAUUUUUUAUUGUUUAAUAGUUAUGAAAUAUUAUUCAAGUUAUUUUUUAUCUAGUUUUCUGAGGAGUAUAAUAGUAGGUAUAUGUAUUAUGGAGGUAAGCGGGGAUUAGCUUGUUUAUUGUUUAUAUGUUUUGAAGAAGGAUAUUUAUUGGUGAAGUUGAAAGUUCUUAGUUUUAUGGUGUUAUUAUUGAUUAAGUUUUAUUUGUUGAUUUUUUAAUAGCUAUGUGUGAAUUUGGAAUUUUAUUUUAAUUUUUAUUUUAAUGAUAUAAUGAUAAAAUUAGUAAUAUAGUGUUUAUAUGAUAGGUUACUGAAUUGUUUUUGGUGAUAAGUUAUAAUUAAUAUUAAUGGUGGAGAAUUCGGCAAAAAAGCUUUUGACUGUUUAGCAAAAACAUUGUUUUUUGUUGAGGUAAGAAAUAAGUUCUGCCCACUGCUAUGAGGUGAAGGGCUGCAGUAUUUUGACUGUAUGAAGGUAGCAUAAUCAUUAGCUUUUUAAUUGGGGGCUGGUAUGAAGGUGAAACAGGGGUUGACUAUUCUGUUUUUAAUUAAUGAAUUUUAUUUUUAUGUGAAAAAUCAUGAGUAGGUUAAAGGGACAAGAAGACCCUAGUAAGUUUUAUUUUUUGUUGUGAUGCAUACAUAGGUUACAAAAUUAGUGUAAUUUAUGAUCGGGGAGUUUGACUGGGGCGGUGUGUUAAGAAACAUUAUUUAUUUUUUAAUUUUUGAUAGCGAUAUUUGGACCUAAGUAUGGUUAGUUGAGUGUAAAAUUACUGUAGGGAUAACAGCGUAAUUUUUUUUAAGAGUUCUUAUUGACAGAAAAGUUUGCGACCUCGAUG
rnacentral:rRNA from 1 species